AAGUCGUAACAAGGUAACCGUAGGUGAACCUGCGGUUGGAUCAUUAAUAAAUUUCAGAUCGAAUCAUCGGUGUAAAAACCUUUGGUUGAUCAACCCAACUUGUGAACCUAUUUUUGUAUUUUUGGUUUGGGUGAGGUGCAAAUCUCAGUAAUCUUCCUUUAAACGAAGGCCUGGCCAAUCGUCCUUAGCUUCGGCUAGGGUCAAAUUUUUUAAGCCCUGUAGUAAAACUUGUCUUUAAUAAAUUUUUUAUGUAAAUGAAAAAACAACUUUUGACAACGGAUCUCUAGGCUCUCGCAACGAUGAAGAACGCAGCGAAAUGCGAUAAGUAAUGUGAAUUGCAGAAUUCCGUGAAUCAUUAAAUCUUUGAACGCACAUUGCGCUCUUUGGUAUCCCGAAGAGCAUGUCUGUUUGAGAAUCAGUUUAAUUAAUCAACGAAAUUUCGUGGGCCUCUUUUGGCUUACCGGCGUUCGUUGGAGUAUGGGACUCUCGUUGACCUCACGGUUAAUGAAGACCUUAAAAAUAAUCUAUUUGCCUAACCUUUUUUGGAGCUUGUCUCUGGGUUGGAAAAAAGCAUGACCAAUUUUUCCGCAAGGAGAAUUUUGAACUGCCUAUUACCUUAACCAGUGCUUUCACUAAGAUUUGUCAACGGAGUAUAGUAAAAAAUACAACCUACGAAGUCGAAAGACUUUAAGACUUGAUCUCAAAUCAGAUAAGACUACCCGCUGACUUAAGCAUAUCAAUAAGCGGAGGAAAAGAAACUAACAAGGAUUCCCCUAGUAACGGCGAGUGAAGCGGGAAUAGCUCAAAUUUGAAAUCUCACUGGUCCCCAGUGCGAAUUGUAGUUUAAAGCAGUGUUUUCUGAGGGCGCCCACGGUCAAGUCCUUUGGGAUGAGGCAUCAUAGAAGGUGAGAAUCCUGUAUGUGCUGUGGGUUGACCUUCUUUGUGAUACACUUGCAAAGAGUCGGGUUGUUUGGGAAUGCAGCCCAAAAUGGGUGGUAAAUACCAUCUAAAGCUAAAUAUUGGCGAGAGACCGAUAGCGAACAAGUACCGUGAGGGAAAGAUGAAAAGAACUUUGAAAAGAGAGUUAAAAGUACGUGAAAUUGUCAAAAGGGAAACACUUGAAACCAGUCUUGUGGGUAGAAUCCCAAAUGGCCUAACGGUCAUUAUAUGUUUCUGCUCGCAGGUCAACAUCAGUUUCGACUGUCGUAAAAAGCUUGAAGAAGGUGGCCUUCGGGUGUUAUAGCUUCAAGUAAUGCGGUGGUCGGGAUUGAGGAACGCAGUGCAGUCUUGGAGACCCGAUCGCUAGCUGACGCUUUUCUCUAGACAACUUGUUGAUUAGGGAGAAGAUAAGGUUAAUCGGUUGGUUUAUCACACCUGUGCUUAGGAUGUUGACAAAGUGGUUUUAAAUGACC
rnacentral:rRNA from 1 species